rnacentral:rRNA from 1 species
UCGAGCGGAAAUGGAUUGAGAGCUUGCUCUCAAGAAGUUAGCGGCGGACGGGUGAGUAACACGUGGGUAACCUGCCCAUAAGACUGGGAUAACUCCGGGAAACCGGGGCUAAUACCGGAUAACAUUUUGAACUGCAUGGUUCGAAAUUGAAAGGCGGCUUCGGCUGUCACUUAUGGAUGGACCCGCGUCGCAUUAGCUAGUUGGUGAGGUAACGGCUCACCAAGGCAACGAUGCGUAGCCGACCUGAGAGGGUGAUCGGCCACACUGGGACUGAGACACGGCCCAGACUCCUACGGGAGGCAGCAGUAGGGAAUCUUCCGCAAUGGACGAAAGUCUGACGGAGCAACGCCGCGUGAGUGAUGAAGGCUUUCGGGUCGUAAAACUCUGUUGUUAGGGAAGAACAAGUGCUAGUUGAAUAAGCUGGCACCUUGACGGUACCUAACCAGAAAGCCACGGCUAACUACGUGCCAGCAGCCGCGGUAAUACGUAGGUGGCAAGCGUUAUCCGGAAUUAUUGGGCGUAAAGCGCGCGCAGGUGGUUUCUUAAGUCUGAUGUGAAAGCCCACGGCUCAACCGUGGAGGGUCAUUGGAAACUGGGAGACUUGAGUGCAGAAGAGGAAAGUGGAAUUCCAUGUGUAGCGGUGAAAUGCGUAGAGAUAUGGAGGAACACCAGUGGCGAAGGCGACUUUCUGGUCUGUAACUGACACUGAGGCGCGAAAUCGUGUGGAGCAAACAGGAUUAGAUACCCUGGUAGUCCACGCCGUAAACGAUGA